rnacentral:rRNA from 1 species
UGCAGGUCGAGCGGAACGGCAGUAUUGAGCUUCGGUGGAUGUACUGGACGUCGAGCGGCGGACGGGUGUGUACGGCUGGGAACCUGCCCUGAUGGGGGGGAUAACCGUUGGAAACGACGGCUAAUACCGCAUAAUGUCUACGGACCAAAGGUGGCCUCUACAUGUAAGCUAUCGCGUUGGGAUGGGCCCAGUUUGGAUAAGCUAGUUGGUAAGGUAACGGCUUACCAAGGCGACGAUCCUUACCUGGUUAGAGAGGAUGAUCAGCCACACUGGGACUCAGACACGGCCCAGACUCCUACGGGAGGCAGCAGUGGGGAAUAUUGCACAAUGGGGGAGACCCUGAUGCAGCCAUGCCGCGUGUGUGAAGAAGGCCUUCGGGUUGUAAAGCACUUUCAGCAGUCAGGAAGGUUGUGUACUUAUUACGUGCAUUGCUUGACGUUAGCUGCAGAAGAAGCACCGGCGUAUCUCCGUGCCAGCAGCCGCGGUAAUACGGAGGGUGCGAGCGUUAAUCGGAAUUACUGGGCGUUAAGCGCAUGCAGGCGGUUUGUUAAGUCAGAUGUGAAAGCCCGGGGCUCAACCUCGGAACCGCAUUUGAAACUGGCAGGCAAGAGUCUUGUAGAGGGGGGUAGAAUUUCAGGUGUAGCGGUGAAAUGCGUAGAGAUCUGUAGGAAUACCAGUGGCGAAGGCGGCCCCCUGGACAAAGACAGACGCUCAGAUGCGAAAGCGUGGGUAGCAAACAGGAUUAGAUACCCUGGUAGUCCACGCCGUAAACGAUGUCUACUUGGAGGCUCAGGUUUAAGACUUUGGCUUUCGGAGCUAACGCAUAAAGUAGACCGCCUGGGGAGUACGGCCGCAAGGUUAAAACUCAAAAGAAUUGACGGGGGCCCGCACAAGCGGUGGAGCAUGUGGUUUAAUUCGAUGCAACGCGAAGAACCUUACCUACUCUUGACAUCCAGCGAAUCCUUUAGAGAUAGAGGAGUGCCUUCGGGAGCGCUGAGACAGGUGCUGCAUGGCUGUCGUCAGCUCGUGUUGUCAAAUGUUGGGUUAAGUCCCGCAACGAGCGCAACCCUAUCUUGUUGCCAGCAACGUAA